rnacentral:rRNA from 1 species
UUGCAGUUAAAAAGCUCGUAGUUGGAUUUCGGAGUGGGCCAGUUGGUCCGCCGCAAGGUGUGUUACUGACUGGUCUGCUCUUCUUCGCAAAGACUGCGUGUGCUCUUUGUUGAGUGUGGGUAGGAUUUACGACGUUUACUUUGAAAAAAUUAGAGUGUUCAAAGCAGGCUAUUGCUUGAAUACAUGAGCAUGGAAUAAUGGAAUAGGACUUUGGUCCCAUUUUGUUGGUUUCUAGGACCGAAGUAAUGAUUAAGAGGGACAUUGGGGGCAUCCGUAUUUCGUUGUCAGAGGUGA